CAGAAAAUGUUCAAGAAGUCGGUGAAAUUAUAGCCCUAUGUAAGUUGAGAAGAUAUCCAGAGACCCUGUUGCUGGGUGGAGCUGUCUUGUUACUGUACGCAACCCCCAUGUCUGAAAAUAAGUGGAACUAGUCGGUUUCUGAAGCAAAGAAGAUGGCCAGGACUCCUUGCUGAUAGAUGGGAGCCAGAUAGAGUUGGUAGAGCCGAGAAGAUGGCCAGGAUUGCUGAUGGACGGAAGUUGUCUAGUGACAUUGACCGUGUCGGAAAAUGCUGAGAAAGACCAACGUUUUUUAAAAGUGAGCAAACAUUCAUACAUUUACACCAGGGAUG